GCCAGUUUCAACUGAAGAGUUUGAUCCUGGCUCAGAUUGAACGCUAACGGCGUGCUUAACACAUGCAAGUCGCACGGCAGCACAGUAGUAGCAAUACUAUGGGUGGCGAGUGGCGGACGGGUGAGUAAUACAUAGGAAUCUGCCUUGUAGUGGGGGAUAACCCGGGGAAACUCGGGCUAAUACCGCAUAAUCUCUACGGAGCAAAGUGGGGGAUCGUAAGACCUCACGCUAAAAGAUGAGCCUAUGUCGGAUUAGCUAGUUGGUGGGGUAAAAGCCUACCAAGGCGACGAUCCGUAGCUGGUCUGAGAGGAUGAUCAGCCACACUGGGACUGAGACACGGCCC
rnacentral:rRNA from 1 species